rnacentral:tRNA from 1 species
CAGCUCAGCUGGUUACAGCGUGGUGCUGAUAAUGCCAAGGUUGCAGGUUCGAUCCCCAUAUGGGAGA